rnacentral:rRNA from 1 species
GAUGAACGCUGGCGGCGUGCUUAACACAUGCAAGUCGAACGGAAAGGCCCAAGCUUGCUUGGGUACUCGAGUGGCGAACGGGUGAGUAACACGUGGGUGAUCUGCCCUGCACUUCGGGAUAAGCCUGGGAAACUGGGUCUAAUACCGGAUAGGACCACAUUUUGGAUGGUGUGGUGGAAAGUUUUUCGGUGUGGGAUGAGCUCGCGGCCUAUCAGCUUGUUGGUGGGGUAAUGGCCUACCAAGGCGUCGACGGGUAGCCGGCCUGAGAGGGUGUACGGCCACAUUGGGACUGAGAUACGGCACAGGCUCCUACGGGAGGCAGCAGUGGGGAAUAUUGCACAAUGGGCGCAAGCCGGAUGCAGCGACGCCGCGUGGGGGAUGACGGCCUUCGGGUUGUAAACUCCUUUCGCUAGGGACGAAGCGCAAGUGACGGUACCUGGAGAAGAAGCACCGGCUAACUACGUG